rnacentral:rRNA from 1 species
GACGAACGCUGGCGGCAGGCCUAACACAUGCAAGUCGAACGAAGUCUUCGGACUUAGUGGCGGACGGGUGAGUAACACGUGGGAACGUGCCUUUAGGUUCGGAAUAACUCAGGGAAACUUGUGCUAAUACCGAAUGUGCCCUUCGGGGGAAAGAUUUAUCGCCUUUAGAGCGGCCCGCGGCUGAUUAGCUAGUUGGUGAGGUAAAGGCUCACCAAGGCGACGAUCAGUAGCUGGUCUGAGAGGAUGAUCAGCCACAUUGGGACUGAGACACGGCCCAAACUCCUACGGGAGGCAGCAGUGGGGAAUCUUGCGCAAUGGGCGAAAGCCUGACGCAGCCAUGCCGCGUGAAUGAUGAAGGUCUUAGGAUUGUAAAAUUCUUUCACCGGGGACGAUAAUGACGGUACCCGGAGAAGAAGCCCCGGCUAACUUCGUGCCAGCCGCCGCCGUAAGAC